UGGAGUCUAUUUUUAACAUCGAGGAAUAUAUUUGGAGAUUAGUUAGGUAUCGGGAAUUAAGUGGUAAAUAUUUAAGACACUUGAGGAAUUAGUGGGAAUCGGGAGCAAUGACUAAAAUGCCCUUAGAAUGUUUAAAGGUUUAGUUAUUAUUGGGAGGGCAAGGUGGUCAUUUGGCUUACUUAAGGUUAGGCUAUAUUCUGCUUUUUGAUGUUAGUGGAGGUUGUAGAUAAAACUUAGAAACUUAAGGAAAAGAAAAGAAGAAGGAAAGAAAGAAAAACAGAACACUUAGAGUUAUCUCACUCUCUCUCAUUCGGCUGGGUCAUCUCUUCACCAUUCCUUGUGGGUUUUGGAGCUGGAAUUCUAGAGCAAGCUCAGGAUGGAGCUUAGGGCUAGGGACUUUGGUGAAGCUUGAAGAACUAGCAGAAUUAAGCCAGUCAAUUGAGGUAAGUUUUAAGGUUUUCUGAUGUGAAUUUCUGGGUUUUAAUGAGAUAGUUUUUAAGUUUGAGUUUUGGAUGGAAUAAAGGGAUAUGAACCUGAGGAGUUGAAGGGCUUGAAGCUGGUUGGAUGCUAGAACGAUUCUACAGCCGAGGUGCUAAGCUAGGGCUCGGGGAUCGGAUCGCGCUCAAGGAACAUCGCUUAUAUCUAGCUCGUUUGAAAGCCAAAGGUAAAGGCAAGGGUAGGCUGAAUCAACCAUGAGUUGGAGAGCUCUGGGGGCGAGGUGUACAUUGUCAGCUGCUCGGCCGCCACGGUCGAGGAAUUGUACAGGGACGGAAACCUAAAAUGUAUAUUUUUCCAUUAGAGUGGCUUGAAUUAUUUGUAGCUCUUGGAAUUUGUUAUAACUAAGACGUCUAAAUCCUGUUUCAAGUUUCCAUGUAUCAAACUGUCAUUUUUAAUGAAAACAGCCUGUUUGUGACCAAAAUCUUUUAUUCCUAACCUGUUGAUGACAUUGAAUUCACACUUUGUUUAAACGACUUGACUAGCAAGUCUUGCACUAUUUAAAACACACAGUGUAACGGUCUUGGUUAUCCAGGGCGUUACAACUUGGUAUCAGAGCCGUCUGGGUUUAUGGGUUCCUGAAGAUUAGCUGGACAUGUACACUCGCCGCUAAAGACAAGCUCGAAUCAAGGGUUUGUAGUGGAAUACAUGAAAUUGUAUGCUUAAGUGCUUGAAUAAAAUGUGGGUGUAUUAAUUUGUAUGAUUAAUAGGGAGCAUGAGAUACUGAUAGGGCCUGGCCCUUGACUGCUGUGUGAUGCUAUUAAGGCAUGUUGUUUAGUAUUGCUCUUGCAUGUGGAUGAAUACAUGGAUAAUGAUGUUAUAUGGAUUGUGGGUUAUUAUAUGUUAAAAGUGAACUUAUAUGAUAUACCUGUUUAUUGGCAUGGAGGGCAUAAA